ensembl:lncRNA
AUUUCUGGAGGUUGUUCCUUUUGGUGUUUUUCUUGAUAAGCCUGGGACACAGUUGAUGAGAAGCAGUCAGGAAGUCUAGCAGAUAUGAAUAGGAAACCACUGGAAUAUAAGAUUCACAGAAAGGAAGAAAAAGGAACUGUGCUACUAAAGGAAUAUUUCCCAGCACAAGCUGAAAACAUCAGGCCUGUGGCAACAUCUUGGGGACUGGGAGUUUGAAACUGUAUUUCAGAAAAAUUGCUUAAACCAUCCUGUAGAGGUGGUGCACUAGCAAGCUGUUCUAAGACAUUCUUCCAGCCCAGCAAAUGGACAUCAGCACCUUGCUGUUACAGCUGGCUCUUUGCCAGAGGAUCUGCAGUGCCAUGAAAACCCAUCUCUCAGAGAAUAUAACCCUGGCAGCUGCCCAGGGAGCAUCAUCUUCUUUCAUGACAGAGACUGAAAUGAUGCUCAGAGCAGCACAAGGACUGGGUGACUAGAUGAGUUGUGCCCACACUCACUCUAGGUGCUCCAAUAGAUGCAAUGGUACAAUGCCUUUUUGAUAAAUGUUUGUAAGAUGUCGUUCCUGAUAAAAUCUGUUGCACCUAUGGGUGAAGGAAGUUGGCUUCCCCCUGGUGUAAUGUCCAUAGGCUCAGAAGACUGGAGUAUCAUUACCCCUGCUGCCCCAAAAAAAUCAUUCUAGUGCCAAACAUGACAAGAAGUGAUGCUUAUGGUACGUAACUGAACAAGAGAGGAAACCUCAGUAUGGAUUUACUACAACUCAUAUUUGAAAUCUACUUUUGAAAAGCCUUGUUACAUAUACUUCUCAAAUCAGGAAAUUUUUGCUGUUCAAGAGUGAAUUCUUAAUUCAGAUUUUCUUUGGAAAAGCACACACAAGCUAAUGAAUUUUUUGUUUCUGGGUAUUAUUCGUGUCCAGUCAGACACAAGGACAUUUUGCACUCUGAUUCUGUUGCAUGGAUUUAAGGUUACCUGCUGCAAGCUUUCUCACAAUUAAGAUAAAACACACCUGGUCUACAUUAGUUGGCACAUUGCUAUCCAUUCGCCCACCAAUCCAGGAUUCUUCUACGUGAAGCAUCUUCAGCUUGGACAAAAAUAUUCAUAAGAAGAAAACAAAACUGAAGCCAUUUUUAGGGGCUUACCUCUCAGAUUUUACAUACAGCUAAAUGUCACACAGGUCACAUUUAGGAGUGUGCCUGAGAAAAAUCAUGUACCUCAGAAAA